rnacentral:rRNA from 1 species
UGCAGUCGAGCGACAGAUAAGGAGCUUGCUCCUUUGACGUUAGCGGCGGACGGGUGAGUAACACGUGGAUAACCUACCUAUAAGACUGGGAUAACUUCGGGAAACCGGAGCUAAUACCGGAUAACAUAUUGAACCGCAUGGUUCAAUAGUGAAAGGCGGCUUUGCUGUCACUUAUAGAUGGAUCCGCGCCGUAUUAGCUAGUUGGUAAGGUGACGGCUUACCAAGGCAACGAUACGUAGCCGACCUGAGAGGGUGAUCGGCCACACUGGAACUGAGACACGGUCCAGACUCCUACGGGAGGCAGCAGUAGGGAAUCUUCCGCAAUGGGCGAAAGCCUGACGGAGCAACGCCGCGUGAGUGAUGAAGGUCUUCGGAUCGUAAAACUCUGUUAUCAGGGAAGAACAAAUGUGUAAGUAACUGUGCACAUCUUGACGGUACCUGAUCAGAAAGCCACGGCUAACUACGUGCCAGCAGCCGCGGUAAUACGUAGGUGGCAAGCGUUAUCCGGAAUUAUUGGGCGUAAAGCGCGCGUAGGCGGUUUUUUAAGUCUGAUGUGAAAGCCCACGGCUCAACCGUGGAGGGUCAUUGGAAACUGGAAAACUUGAGUGCAGAAGAGGAAAGUGGAAUUCCAUGUGUAGCGGUGAAAUGCGCAGAGAUAUGGAGGAACACCAGUGGCGAAGGCGACUUUCUGGUCUGUAACUGACGCUGAUGUGCGAAAGCGUGGGGAUCAAACAGGAUUAGAUACCCUGGUAGUCCACGCCGUAAACGAUGAGUGCUAAGUGUUAGGGGGGUUUCCGCCCCUUAGUGCUGCAGCUAACGCAUUAAGCACUCCGCCUGGGGGAGUACGACCGCAAGGUUGAAACUCAAAAGGAAUUUGACGGGGGACCCGCACAAACGGUGAACCAUGUGGUUUAAUUCC